rnacentral:lncRNA from 1 species
AACAUAUCUUAAAUACAUGUCAAUUCAAUCUUAAUUUAAUCCUAGUUGAAAUCUUACUUCAUUCAAACAUUAAACCAAAAACUAACUAAAUCUUAAAUCUUAAACAAACUCAAAUAAAACCCUAAAUCUUAAAUCAAAUCUUGAUCAAACCCUAACCAAACCUUAAAUCCUAAACCAAAUCCUAAAUUCUAAACUAAAUCCUAAAUCCUAAAUCAAAUCCUAACCAAAUCCUAAAUCCUAAACCAAAUCUUAAUCCUAAAUCAAACCCUAACCAAAUCCUAAACCUUAACCCUAAACCAAAUUCUAAUCCUAAAUCAAAUCCUAACCAAAUCCUAAUCCUAAUCCUAAAUCCUAAACCAAAUCCUAACCAAACUCUAAUCCUAAAUCAAAUCCUAACCAAAUC